CUUUAGAAAAUAAAAUACAGAUUGUGGGUGCAGGGGUACAUUUUUUUUACAGUGUUGAUAUUUGGGGCAGUGACUUCAAGCAUCAAAAAGGAGAUUAAGCUUGGUAGUGUUAACUCUUAUAAAGACUUGGGUUUACCUUUACCCUCCGACCCACUGCAAUGGAGACUAGGAGGGUUGUUGACACACUGUAGGGGGAAGGCUGGAAGGCUGGUGGUUUUCCUGGCGAUCCUUUUUGUUUUAGCUUGAGAUGAGGUGGAGGUAGAGGUCGGGUUACAGGUGGUGGUUGAGGUGGACUGGGUGGUAUCGAGGUGGGUGGAGGUGGGCUGGGUGGUAUCAAGGUGGGUGGAGGUAGAGGUGGGGUUACAGGUGGUUGAGGUGGACUGGGUGGUAUCGAGGUGGGUGGAGGUAGAGGUGGGCUGGGUGGUAUCGAGGUGGGUGGAGGUAGAGGUGGACUGGGUGGUAUCGAGGUGGGUGAAGGUAGAGGUGGACUGGGUGGUAUCGAGGUGGGUGGAGGUUGAGGUGGGCUGGGUGGUAUCGAGGUGGGUGGAGGUAGAGGUGGGGUUACAGGUGGUUGAGGUGGACUGGGUGGUAUCGAGGUGGGUGGAGGUAGAGGUGGGCUGGGUGGCAUCGAGGUGGGUGGAGGUAGAGGUGGACUGGGUGGUAUCGAGGUGGGUGGUGGUUGAGGUGGACUGGGUGGUAUCGAGGUGGGUGGAGGUUGAGGUGGGCUGGGUGGUAUCGAGGUGGGUGGAGGUAGAGGUGGGCUGGGUGGUAUCGAGGUGGGUGGAGGUAGAGGUGGGGUUACAGGUGGUUGAGGUGGACUGGGUGGUAUCGAGGUGGGUGGAGGUAGAGGUGGACUGGGUGGUAUCGAGGUGGGCGGAGGUAGAGGUGGGGUUACAGGUGGUUGAGGUGGACUGGGUGGUAUCGAGGUGGGUGGAGGUAGAGGUGGACUGGAUGGUAUCGAGGUAGGUGGAGGUAGAGGUGGACUGGGUGGUAUCGAGGUGGGCGGAGGUAGAGGUGGGGUUACAGGUGGUGGUGGUCCCUCCUUCCUUCAGUCUCUCAUUAUGGG
rnacentral:lncRNA from 1 species